AGAGUUUGAUCCUGGCUCAGGACGAACGCUGGCGGCGUGCCUAACACAUGCAAGUCGAGCGAUGAAGCCCUUCGGGGUGGAUUAGCAGCGGACGGGUGAGUAACACGUGGGUAACCUGCCUCAAAGAGGGGGAUAGCCUCCCGAAAGGGAGAUUAAUACCGCAUAACAUUGGUUUUUCGCACGAAGAACUAAUUAAAGGAGUAAUCCGCUUUGAGAUGGACCCGCGGCGCAUUAGCUAGUUGGUGAGGUAACGGCUCACCAAGGCGACGAUGCGUAGCCGACCUGAGAGGGUGAUCGGCCACAUUGGAACUGAGACACGGUCCAGACUCCUACGGGAGGCAGCAGUGGGGAAUAUUGCACAAUGGGGGAAACCCUGAUGCAGCAACGCCGCGUGAGCGACGAAGGCCUUCGGGUUGUAAAGCUCUGUCUUCUCUGACGAAGUAAUGACGGUAAGAGAGGAGGAAGCCACGGCUAACUACGUGCCAGCAGCCGCGGUAAUACGUAGGUGGCAAGCGUUGUCCGGAAUUAUUGGGCGUAAAGGGUGCGUAGGUGGUCUUUUAAGUGGGAUGUGAAAUACCUGGGCUUAACUCAGGGAUUGCAUUCCAAACUGGAAGACUAGAGUGCAGGAGAGGAAAGUGGAAUUCCCAGUGUAGCGGUGAAAUGCGUAGAGAUUGGGAGGAACACCAGUGGCGAAGGCGACUUUCUGGACUGUAACUGACACUGAGGCACGAAAGCGUGGGGAGCAAACAGGAUUAGAUACCCUGGUAGUCCACGCUGUAAACUAUGAGUACUAGGUGUAGGGG
rnacentral:rRNA from 1 species